rnacentral:rRNA from 1 species
GACGUUACCUACAGAAGAAGCACCGGCUAACUCCGUGCCAGCAGCCGCGGUAAUACGGAGGGUGCGAGCGUUAAUCGGAAUUACUGGGCGUAAAGCGCAUGCAGGCGGCCUGUUAAGUCAGAUGUGAAAGCCCGGGGCGUUAACCUCGGAAUUGCAUUUGUAAACUGGCAGGCUAGAGUCUUGUAGAGGGGGGUAGGAAUUUCUAGGUGUAGCGGUGAAAUAGCGUAGAGAUCUGAAGGAAUACCAGUGGCGAAGGCGGCCCCCUCGGACAAAGACUGACGCUCAGAUGCGAAAGCGUGGGGAGCAAACAGGAUUAGAUACCCUGGUAG